CUGCACCUCUGGUUCCCAUACGGUCACCGAAGUUAAGCAAUGUCAAGCCUGGUCAGUACCUAGAUGGGUAACUACUUGGGAAUAUCA